rnacentral:rRNA from 1 species
GACGAACGCUGGCGGCGUGCUUAACACAUGCAAGUCGAACGGUGAAAGCGGAGCUUGCUCCGCUGGAUCAGUGGCGAACGGGUGAGUAACACGUGGGCAACCUGCCCCUCACUUCGGGAUAACUCCGGGAGACCGGGGCUAAUACCGGAUAUGACCUCCUUGGGCAUCCUUGGAGGUGGAAAGUUUUUCGGUGAGGGAUGGGCCCGCGGCCUAUCAGCUUGUUGGUGAGGUAGUGGCUCACCAAGGCGACGACGGGUAGCUGGCCUGAGAGGGCGACCGGCCACACUGGGACUGAGACACGGCCCAGACUCCUACGGGAGGCAGCAGUGGGGAAUAUUGCGCAAUGGGCGAAAGCCUGACGCAGCAACGCCGCGUGCGGGAUGACGGCCUUCGGGUUGUAAACCGCUUCCAGCAGGGAAGAAGCCGCAAGGUGACGGUACCUGCAGAAGAAGCACCGGCUAACUACGUGCCAGCCGCCGCCGUAA